GCAGCACUACUCAAAACAAAUUCCCAUCUCGUCGUUACACAAAUAAACGGAGAGGGGUGGCGCCGUUACCUGUGCAAUACCUCUUUUUAUUCAUUCUUCCCCCAAAAAAAAUUCCCCAUUUUCCCUCUUGCUCUCUCUUGAUCUCUCUCUCUCUCUCUCUUCACUUCACUAACACUUCAAAUUGGAUCUCAAUCGGAUCUCUAGGGUUUACGAAUCUCCUCGUACGGUUUCCAUUUUCGAUCAGUGACAAUGCCUCUCAGACUGGAAAUCAAGAGGAAGCUUGCUCAAAGAUCAGAAAGAGUAAAAUCCGUGGAUCUACAUCCUACAGAGCCAUGGAUUUUGGCAAGUUUGUAUUCAGGGACCGUUUGCAUAUGGAAUUACCAGACCCAGACAAUGGCGAAAUCCUUUGAGGUCACUGAACUACCAGUAAGGUCAGCCAAGUUUGUAGCACGUAAGCAGUGGGUAGUUGCUGGCGCUGAUGACAUGUUUAUUCGUGUGUACAACUACAAUACAAUGGAUAAGGUCAAAGUGUUUGAGGCACAUACAGAUUACAUUAGAUGUGUGGCUGUCCAUCCUACUCUUCCUUACGUGCUGUCAUCAUCUGAUGACAUGCUUAUCAAACUUUGGGACUGGGAGAAAGGUUGGGUGUGCACUCAGAUUUUUGAGGGCCAUUCCCAUUAUGUGAUGCAAGUGACAUUUAAUCCAAAAGACACAAACACUUUUGCAAGUGCUUCUCUCGAUCGCACUAUAAAGAUUUGGAACCUUGGCUCUCCGGACCCAAAUUUCACCUUGGAUGCACAUCUUAAAGGAGUAAAUUGCGUUGAUUAUUUUACUGGUGGCGAUAAACCUUAUCUAAUCACUGGUUCUGAUGAUCACACUGCUAAGGUGUGGGAUUAUCAGACCAAAAGUUGUGUCCAGACGCUUGAAGGCCACACACACAAUGUUUCAGCUGUGUGUUUUCAUCCUGAACUUCCUAUUAUAAUCACUGGUUCAGAGGAUGGUACUGUCCGCAUAUGGCAUGCAACCACCUAUAGACUUGAGAACACUUUGAACUAUGGUCUUGAACGAGUAUGGGCUGUAGGCUACAUGAAAGGUUCCAGGCGGGUUGUAAUUGGUUACGAUGAAGGAACAAUCAUGGUGAAAAUAGGCCGUGAGGUUCCUGUUGCCAGUAUGGACAACAGUGGUAAAAUCAUAUGGGCUAAGCAUAAUGAGAUUCAGACUGUCAACAUCAAGAGUGUGGGAGCCGAUUUUGAGGUUACUGAUGGAGAGAGGUUGCCUUUAGCCGUCAAAGAGUUGGGUACUUGUGAUCUUUACCCACAAAACUUAAAGCACAAUCCAAAUGGGAGGUUUGUCGUUGUCUGUGGUGAUGGUGAAUACAUCAUCUAUACUGCGUUGGCAUGGAGAAAUAGGUCAUUUGGUUCAGCAUUGGAGUUUGUGUGGUCAUCAGAUGGGGAAUAUGCUGUUAGGGAAAGUACAUCAAAGAUAAAAAUCUUUAGUAAAAAUUUCCAGGAGAAGAAAAGCAUUCGGCCUACAUUUUCUGCUGAGCGCAUAUUUGGUGGUUCUCUACUGUCAAUGUGCUCAAAUGAUUUCAUUUGUUUCUAUGAUUGGGCUGACUGUAGGUUGAUUCGACGUAUUGAUGUUAAUGUUAAAAAUCUCUACUGGGCUGAUAGCGGUGAUUUAGUGGCCAUAGCUAGUGAUACUUCUUUCUAUAUACUCAAAUAUAAUCGUGAUGUAGUUUCUGCACAUCUUGAUAAUGGAAAAUCAGUAGAUGAACAAGGUGUUGAAGAUGCCUUUGAGCUUUUAUAUGAAAUAAAUGAAAGAGUCAGGACUGGAAUUUGGGUGGGUGAUUGCUUUAUCUACAAUAACUCUUCUUGGAGGCUAAAUUAUUGUGUUGGUGGUGAGGUUACCACUAUGUUUCAUUUAGACCGACCGAUGUACUUGCUUGGAUAUCUAGCUAACCAGAGUAGAGUGUACCUCAUUGACAAAGAAUUCAAUGUGAUGGGAUACACUUUGCUCCUGAGCUUGAUUGAAUACAAGACACUCGUUAUGCGUGGCGACAUAGAAAGGGCUAAUGAGGUCCUACCAUCCAUCCCCAAGGAGCAUCAUAACAGUGUGGCGCGUUUCCUUGAAUCACGAGGAAUGGUAGAGGAUGCCCUGGAAGUUGCUACUGACCCUGAUUACAGAUUUGAGCUAGCCAUACAGCUUGGUAAACUAGAGAUCGCACAGGAAAUUGCCACUGUAGCACAGAGUGAAUCAAAAUGGAAGCAGUUGGGAGAACUAGCUAUGUCCACUGGAAUGUUAGAGAUGGCAGAGGAAUGCUUGAAGCAGGCAAAUGAUUUGAGUGGUUUGUUACUGUUGUAUUCUUCUUUGGGAGAUGCUGAGGGCAUAUCAAAACUUGCAUCUAGCGCAAAAGAGCAUGGGAAGAAUAAUGUUGCUUUCCUUUGUCUGUUUAUGCUGGGAAAGUUGGAAGAGUGCCUACAGCUGUUGAUUGAAAGCAACCGGAUACCUGAGGCUGCACUGAUGGCUAGAUCUUAUCUUCCAAGUAAGGUGUCUGAAAUAGUAGCAAUCUGGAGAAGAGACUUGAAUAAGGUUAAUCAAAAAGCUUCAGAGUCUUUGGCUGAUCCUGAAGAAUAUCCAAAUAUGUUUGAUGACUGGCAAGUUGCACUUGCUGUUGAGGGCAAAGUUGCUGAAACAAGGGGUAAUCAUCCUCCAGCAAUUGAAUAUUUGAACUAUGCGGAUAGAUCGACCAUCAGUCUAGUGGAGGCUUUUAGAAACAUGCAAAUGGAUGACGAGCCACCACUUGAAAAUGGAGCCUUGGAUUAUGAGGAACAAAAUGGAGAUGAGUUGCAGGAGGACAUAGGUGAUGCACAAGAUGAGAGGCAAGAAGGUGGUCAAGAAGAGGUUCACGAAGAGGCUGUGGUGGUUGAUGCAGACUCUACAGACGGUGCAGUACUCGUUAACGGAAACGAGGCUGACGAAGAGUGGGGUACGAAUCAUGAAGGAAAACCGUCAGCCUAAAAGCAAUUGGUUGGGCCAUUGUGAAAAUCCUAGUUUUGUUGCUGUGCUUACACCAUGUCAUUAGUUCCAGUCAAGACACCUGGUUCCUGCUGAAUUCAAUUUCCUUGAGGUUUUCUAUGGCGUAUCUGAAAGAGGAGACAAAGGGACUGGGUGUCUUUUUUGCUGGUGGUGUGAUUUUUCAAGCACAAUGAAUUUUGUCAGGGCACAUACCGUAGACAGUGUUCCAAGCUCCAGUUAGUUGUUUAGUGUUCUAUAGUUUUACUACACUCGUUUAGGCCAAUUUUUUCAUGAAAUUCUUAUGUGCCAUUGUGAAUGUAAACGUAUCAGUAAUUGGUUGGAUUGCGCUUGAUAGUUUUCUCUAUCUGGAUGUUACACAGUGGAAUCCUAUGAGUGUAUCUAUACGAGAAAUAUUUUGGUCUUGGUUGUUGACCAAUGGAAAGGCUCCAAAUAUGAUGAUUAAAAACCCCACCAUUUUCCG